rnacentral:rRNA from 1 species
GUUUGAUUCUGGCUCAGGAUGAACGCUGGCGGCAUGCCUAAUACAUGCAAGUCGAACGGAGUGAAGCCUUCGGGUUUCAUUCAGUGGCGAACGGGUGAGUAAUACGCAGGGAACCUGGCCAUGGCAGGGGGAUACACUCUGGAAACGGAGCAUAAGACCCCAUAGGCAGUAAGGCGGCAUCGCCUUGCUGUUAAAGAAAGCUGAAAGGCUUUGGCGAUGGAUGGACCUGCGGUGCAUUAGCUUGUUGGUGAGGCAACGGCUUACCAAGGCGAUGAUGCAUAGCCGGCCUGAGAGGGCGGACGGCCACACUGGGACUGAGACACGGCCCAGACUCCUGCGGGAGGCAGCAGUAGGGAAUUUUCGUCAAUGGGCGCAAGCCUGAACGAGCAAUGCCGCGUGAGUGAGGAAGGUCUUCGGACUGUAAAGCUCUGUUGCCGGGGAAAAAGGGGAAAUGCAGGAAAUGGCAUUUCAUGGAUGGUACCCGGCCAGAAAGCCACGGCUAACUACGUGCCAGCAGCCGCGGUAAUACGUAGGUGGCGAGCGUUAUCCGGAAUGAUUGGGCGUAAAGGGUGCGCAGGCGGUCUGUUAAGUCUGAAGGCAAAGGGAUGAGCUCAACUCAUUUAUGAUUCAGAAACUGGCAGACUUGAGGACAGGAGAGGGCGGUGGAACUCCAUGUGUAGCGGUAAAAUGCGCAGAGAUAUGGAAGAACACCAGUGGCGAAGGCGGCCGCCUGGCCUGUGACUGACGCUGAGGCACGAAAGCGUGGGGAGCAAAUAGGAUUAGAUACCCUAGUAGUCCACGCCGUAAACGAUGAGGAGCAGGUGUUGGGAGUGAAAUCUCAGUGCCGAAGCCAACGCAGUGACUCCUCCGCCUGGGGAGUAUGCACGCAAGUGUGAAACUCAAAGGAAUUGACGGGGGCCCGCACAAGCGGUGGAGUAUGUGGUUUAAUUCGAAGCAACGCGAAGAACCUUACCAGGUUUUGACAUCGGAUGCGAAGGCGCAGAGAUGCGCUGGAGGCUAUCAUCCAGACAGGUGGUGCAUGGUUGUCGUCAGCUCGUGUCGUGAGAUGUUCAGUUAAGUCUGGCAACGAGCGCAACCCCCGUGGUAUGUUACUAACGCAUUUGGGCGAGGACUCAUAUCAGACUGCCGGUGACAAACCGGAGGAAGGCGGGGAUGACGUCAAAUCAUCAUGCCCCUUAUGGCCUGGGCUACACACGUACUACAAUGGCGUCUACAGAGGGAAGCGACCCUGAGAAGGGAAGCGAAACCGGAAAAGGGCGUCCCAGUUCGGAUUGAAGUCUGCAACCCGACUUCAUGAAGAUGGAAUCGCUAGUAAUCGCGGAUCAGCAUGCCGCGGUGAAUACGUUCCCGGGCCUUGUACACACCGCCCGUCAAACCAUGGAAGCCGGCAACGCCCGAAGCCGGUGGCAUAACCUUUUAGGAGUGAGCCGUCGAAGGCGGGGCCGAUGACUGGGGUUAAGUCGUAACAAGGUACCC